UUCCUGUGUGGAACCUGGAAUUCAAACGGCUGGGGCCUCACUCACGGCAUAUGGAACUAACCACGCCCCUAACUAAGAAGGCACACCUUAGUUGCAGUUAGCACACAAUUAAAGCAACUCUCCAAGUUUUACCUUAAAGUUCAAAAUUGCUAGGAGUUGAAACUACUAGAAAUAUAUUUACAUGCAAGAGUCAAAGAAACUUUGAACUAUUUAUGGCCUUUAAUAAUUAAGUAAGGUAUACUCCUGUGAUCAAGACUUGGAGCAUAUUUGUUUCUCUCUGCCUGGUUCCUCUAGAAAUUGGAAACUAUCAGGGAGAGAUGAUGACAGCCUGAACAAGGAUGACAAUAAUGGAAACAGAGACAAAAGGACAGAGGUGGAACAGAGACCAACUCCGUUUCCCGAUCCCUUUGCAAUCUGCAUUGAACCAUGAGUCAAGUUCUUGAUAAAGGAGUGAAAAUGGUAAGUCUAAAGCAAUGAAAAGCUGCUGUAUUGACUACACAUGCCUUCAUUUCUUCUACCCUGCUUCUUUCAUGCCUGCUUAUCUGAAUGACACCAGGAUGACAUUUAAGGCACAUCUGAAGAUGGGGAAACCACAGCACAGAAUAAGGCUGGGCCCUUGAAUCAAUAAAUGAAGGAGAACUACUCAAGAGAACAAAACCACCAGCAAUAUCCACCUGUAUUUGUCUUUUCAUAA
ensembl:lncRNA LINC01515 long intergenic non-protein coding RNA 1515